CCUACGGGUGGCAGCAGUGAGGAAUAUUGGUCAAUGGACGAGAGUCUGAACCAGCCAAGUAGCGUGAAGGAUGACUGCCCUAUGGGUUGUAAACUUCUUUUAUAUGGGAAUAAAACGUUCCACGUGUGGGAUUUUGUAGGUACCAUAUGAAUAAGGAUCGGCUAACUCCGUGCCAGCAGCCGCGGUAAUACGGAGGAGCCGAGCGUUAUCCGGAUUUAUUGGGUUUAAAGGGAGCGUAGGUGGAUUGUUAAGUCAGUUGUGAAAGUUUGCGGCUCAACCGUAAAAUUGCAGUUGAAACUGGCAGUCUUGAGUACAGUAGAGGUGGGCGGAAUUCGUGGUGUAGCGGUGAAAUGCUUAGAUAUCACGAAGAACUCCGAUUGCGAAGGCAGUUCACUGGACUGCAACUGACACUGAGGCUCGAAAGUGUGGGUAUCAAACAGGAUUAGAUACCCCUGUAGUC
rnacentral:rRNA from 1 species